rnacentral:rRNA from 1 species
CAGAUAUGAACCUUCAGUUCGGCUGGCGGGAACACAAGUUCUGCAUGGCUGUCGUCAGCUCGUGUCGUGAGAUGUUGGGUUAAGUCCCGCAACGAGCGCAACCCUCGCCCUUAGUUGCCAUCAUUCAGUUGGGCACUCUGAGGGGACUGCCGGUGAUAAGCCGCGAGGAAGGUGGGGAUGACGUCAAGUCCACAUGGCCCUAACAGGUUGGGCUACACACGUGCUACAAUGGCGGUGACAAUGGGACGCAAUGGGGCAACCCUGCGCAAAUCUCAAAAAACCGUCUCAGUUCGGAUUGCUCUCUGCAACUCGAGAGCAUGAAGUCGGGAUCGCUAGUCAUCGUAGAUCAGCAAGCUGACAGUGAAUACGUUCCCG